rnacentral:rRNA from 1 species
UACGUAGGCAGCAAGCGUUGUUCGGAAUUACUGGGCGUAAAGAGUGUGUAGGCGGUGUUCUAAGUUUGUCGUGAAAUCUCCCGGCUUAACUGGGAGGGUGCGGCGAAAACUGGAAUGCUAGAGGAUGGGAGAGGUAAGCGGAAUUCCUGGUGUAGCGGUGAAAUGCGUAGAUAUCAGGAGGAACACCUGUGGUGUAGACGGCUUACUGGACCAUUUCUGACGCUGAGACACGAAAGCAUGGGUAGCAAACAGG